rnacentral:rRNA from 1 species
UACGUAGGGUGCGAGCGUUGUCCGGAAUUAUUGGGCGUAAAGGGCUCGUAGGCGGUUUGUCGCGUCGGGAGUGAAAACCUGGGGCUUAACUCUGGGCGUGCGGUCGAUACGGGCAUCACUGGAGUUCGGCAGGGGAGACUGGAAUUCCUGGUGUAGCGGUGAAAUGCGCAGAUAUCAGGAGGAACACCGGUGGCGAAGGCGGGUCUCUGGGCCGAUACUGACGCUGAGGAGCGAAAGCGUGGGGAGCAAACAGG